rnacentral:rRNA from 1 species
GUCGGANCUUGCCCGGUGAAAUUUUUUAACGGCCGCGGUACUCUGACCGUGCAAAGGUAGCAUAAUCAUUUGCCUUAUAAUUGAAGGCUGGUAUGAAUGGUUUGACAAGAAUACAACUGUCUCUUUACAAUUUGGUAGAAUUUUAUAUUUAGGUGAAAAAGCCUUAAUUUAAUUAAAAGACAAGAAGACCCUAUCGAGCUUAAAAGAAAUUAAUAGGUAUAACAUUUUUAGUUUUUAGAAAUAUAGAGCUAUUAAACAUUUUGGUUGGGGCGACUGAGGAACAUGUAAAGCUUCCUUUUAUAGCUUUUGAUAUACAAAUUAUUGAUCCAUAGUUAAUGAUUAAAGGAAUGAGUUACCGUAGGGAUAACAGCAUAAUCUUUUUUGAGAGUUCUAAUCGAAAAAAGGGUUUGUGACCUCGAUGUUGGACCAGAAUAUCCUAAAGAUGUAGAAGUCUUUGAGGGUUGGUCUGUUCGACCAUUAAAAUUCUA